rnacentral:rRNA from 1 species
GAUGAACGCUGGCGGUAUGCUUAACACAUGCAAGUCGAACGGACUCUUCGGAGUUAGUUGCGGAUGGGGGAGUCACGCGGGAGAAUCUGGCUUUGGGUUCGGGACAACAACUGGAAACGGUGGCUAAUACCGGAUGUGUCGAGAGGUUAAAGAGAAAUUGCCUGAAGAUGAGCCGGCGUCUGAUUAGACAGUUGGUGAGGUAAAGACCCACCAAGGCAGCGAGCAGUAGCUGGUUUGAGAGGAUGACCAGCCACACCGGGACUGAGACACGGCCGAGACGACUACGGGAGGCAGCAGGGGAGAAUUUUCCACAAUGGGCGAAAGGCUGACGGAGCAAUACCGCGUGAGGGAAGAAGGUUCUUGGGUUGAAAACCUCUUUUCUUAGGGAAGAACAAAAUGACGGUACCUAAGGAAUCAGCACCGGCUAACUCCGUG